rnacentral:rRNA from 1 species
UGGGGAAUUUUGCACAAUGGGGGCAACCCUGAUGCAGCGACGCCGCGUGAUUUAGAAGGCCUUCGGGUUGUAAAAAUCUUUUGUAUAGGAAGAAAAUGACAGUACUAUACGAAUAAGGUCCGGCUAAUUACGUGCCAGCAGCCGCGGUAAUACGUAAGGACCGAGCGUUGUCCGGAAUCAUUGGGCGUAAAGGGUACGUAGGCGGUUAAAAAAGUUAGAAGUGAAAGGCUAUAGCUCAACUAUAGUAAGCUUUUAAAACUGUUUAACUUGAGAGAUGGAAGGGAAAGUGGAAUUCCUAGUGUAGCGGUGAAAUGCGCAGAUAUUAGGAGGAAUACCGGUGGCGAAGGCGACUUUCUGGCCAUUAUCUGACGCUGAGGUAUGAAAGCGUGGGUAGCAAACAGG